GGUCAAUGGGCGCAAGCCUGAACCAGCCAUGCCGCGUGAAGGAUGACGGCCCUAUGGGUUGUAAACUUCUUUUGUACGGGAAAAAACCACCGGUCGAGUAUCGGUGCUGAUGGUACCGUAAGAAUAAGCAUCGGCUAACUCCGUGCCAGCAGCCGCGGUAAUACGGAGGAUGCAAGCGUUAUCCGGAUUCAUUGGGUUUAAAGGGUGCGCAGGCGGAAUAAUAAGUCAGCGGUGAAAGCCUACAGCUUAACUGUAGAACUGCCAUUGAUACUGUUAUUCUUGAGUGUUGUUGAGGUAGGCGGAAUGUGUCAUGUAGCGGUGAAAUGCUUAGAUAUGACACAGAACACCGAUCGCGAAGGCAGCUUACCAAGCAACAACUGACGCUCAUGCACGAAAGCGUGGGGAUCAAACAGGAUUAGAUACCCUGGUAGUCCACGCCGUAAACGAUGAUCACUCGAUGUUGGCGAUACACAGUCAGCGUCUUAGGGUAACUAUUAAGUGAUCCACCUGGGGAGUACGGUCGCAAGAUUGAAACUCAAAGGAAUUGACGGGGGCCCGCACAAGCGGAGGAGCAUGUGGUUUAAUUCGAUGAUACGCGAGGAACCUUACCUGGGCUCGAACGUGGAAUGACAGUCGCGGAAACGUGAUCUUCUUCGGACAUUCUACGAGGUGCUGCAUGGUUGUCGUCAGCUCGUGCCGUGAGGUGUCGGGUUAAGUCCCAUAACGAGCGCAACCCCUAUCUUUAGUUGCCAUCAGGUAAUGCUGGGGACUCUAAAGAAACUGCCUACGCAAGUAGUGAGGAAGGCGGGGAUGACGUCAAAUCAGCACGGCCCUUACGUCCAGGGCUACACACGUGCUACAAUGGCCGGUACAGAGGGCAGCUACUGGGUGACCAGAUGCAAACCUCCAAAGCCGGUCUCAGUUCGGAUCGAAGUCUGCAACCCGACUCCGUGAAGUUGGAUUCGCUAGUAAUCGCGCAUCAGCCAUGGCGCGGUGAAUACGUUCCCGGGCCUUGUACACACCG
rnacentral:rRNA from 1 species